CUAAUUGAGAAAAAAAAGCUAUUUAACUAUUCUCUUAAAAAUAAAAAAUUACUAUUUAUUUAUUAGUAUUUCUUAUUUUUCUUUGCAUAAACAUUUAGCUGUAGUUUGAAUAGCUUUGUUUUCAACUCCAGGUCUAUAUUGCAUCUAAUUAUUUGAGAAAAAAUAUUAUAUCAAAUGAUGCUAACCACUUAAUUUAAUAUAAUUUUAGAUUAAACUGAAGCAUGAGGCA
rnacentral:lncRNA from 1 species